UACGUAGGGUGCGAGCGUUGUCCGGAAUUAUUGGGCGUAAAGAGCUUGUAGGCGGUUUGUCGCGUCUGCUGUGAAAAUCCGGGGCUCAACCCCGGACUUGCAGUGGGGUACGGGCAGACUGGAGUGUGGUAGGGGAGACUGGAAUUCCUGGUGUAGCGGUGGAAUGCGCAGAUAUCAGGAGGAACACCGAUGGCGAAGGCAGGUCUCUGGGCCACUACUGACGCUGAGAAGCGAAAGCAUGGGGAGCGAACAGG
rnacentral:rRNA from 1 species